rnacentral:rRNA from 1 species
UCGCGGCCUAUGCAGCUGUGUUGGUGAGGGUAACGGCCUCACCAAGGGCGACUUACGGGGUAGCCGGCCUGUAGAGGGCGACCGGCCACACUGGGACUGAGACACGGCCCAGACUCCUGCGGGAGGCAGCAGUGGGGAAUAUUGCGCAAUGGGCGAAAGCCUGACGCAGCGACGCCGCGUGGGGGAUGACGGCCUUCGGGUUGUAAACCUCUUUUACCACCAAACGCAGGCUCCGGGUUCUCUCGGGGUUGACGGUAGGUGGGGAAUAAGGACCGGCUAACUACGUGCCAGCAGCCGCGGUAAUACGUAGGGUCCGAGCGUUGUCCGGAAUUAUUGGGCGUAAAGAGCUCGUAGGCGGCGUGUCGCGUCUGCUGUGAAAGACCGGGGCUUAACUCCGGUUCUGCAGUGGAUACGGGCAUGCUAGAGGUAGGUAGGGGAGACUGGAAUUCCUGGUGUAGCGGUGAAAUGCGCAGAUAUCAGGAGGAACACCGGUGGCGAAGGCGGGUCUCUGGGCCUUACCUGACGCUGAGGAGCGAAAGCAUGGGGAGCGAACAGGAUUAGAUACCCUGGUAGUCCAUGCCGUAAACGUUGGGCGCUAGGUGUGGGGACUUUCCACGGUUUCCGCGCCGUAGCUAACGCAUUAAGCGCCCCGCCGGGGGGAAGAAGGGAA